rnacentral:rRNA from 1 species
UUUAGCCUUAGUAGCGGCGAGUGAGCGGCAAUAGCUCAAAUUUGAAAUCUGGCGCCUUCGGUGUCCGAGUUGUAAUUUGAAGAAGGUAUCUUUGGUUUUGGCUCUUGUCUAUGUUUCUUGGAACAGGACGUCAUAGAGGGUGAGAAUCCCGUCUGAUGAGAUGCCCAAUUCCAUGUAAAGUUCCUUCGACGAGUCGAGUUGUUUGGGAAUGCAGCUCUAAGUGGGUGGUAAAUUCCAUCUAAAGCUAAAUAUUGGCGAGAGACCGAUAGCGAACAAGUACUGUGAAGGAAAGAUGAAAAGAACUUUGAAAAGAGAGUGAAAAAGUACGUGAAAUUGUUGAAAGGGAAGGGUUUAAGGUCAGACUUGGUUUACCAGGCCAGCAUCGGUUUAGAUGGCAGGAUAAUGGCGUAGGAAUGUGGCUUUGCUUCGGUAAAGUGUUAUAGCCUGCGUUGAUACUGCCUAUUUAGACCGAGGACUGCGUCUUUGACAAGGAUGCUGGCAUAAUGGCCUUAAGCCACCCGUCUGAAACACGGACCA